ACCCGGCCUAGAGCUCACGUUUACAUGGACAGCAGUAAUUUAAUUAUUGACCUUACUCUGAUUAAUAUAAUAAUGUGAUUACGGUGUUUACAUGAGUCGCUUUUAGAAUAUUCCUGUCAUGUACCCGUUUUACAUGUUAUACAACAUAAUUAGAUUAACAGCCGCGUCAUUACGUCACCGCGCCACGCCGUCUGACGUCCCUACAGAAUUUCACGUAUCAACAUACAGUUCGUCUUCGUUAUGGUACCGUAUACAGUUUUGGGUGUUUUUAUUGAAUUUUUUUUUUACGGACGCUUUAAGUGCAGUUAAUUAUUUGUCAUGCUAUACGUGCUAAUAGACAACUGCUUCAAGCCGUGGGCUGCGUCCCAAACCGCGUACUUACCGUCUAUAUAGUAGCCGAGAUACAUGUAUUUUUCCUCACUACAGGCCUAUAGAAAGCAAAUAUGCGGUUUGGGACGUAGCCGAACUCUCUGGUUCGCCGUAAAAUGUUGAGAACUGCCGUGUGUGACCGUGUCCUGUCGCAAAAUGCGAUGAAAACUCUCACACGACGUCAAUAGUGUGAUUAAGGUGUUUACAUGUAAUACACGUUGAUAAUGCGACUAAAACAGGAAUACGCCACAUGUCUUAAUUCGAUUAGUGCUUACUUCGAGUACGACUUUAAUCACAUUAAGUUUAAUUACUUUCUGGACUCGGCCGGACUCGACUUGGACUCAACCAUUAAGAACUCAGACUUAAGUCCAGCGCUGCCCCUUUUGAACUCGGACUCGAUUGGUUAAGGACUUGGUCUCAACUCGAACUCAACUGCUUGCUAGCUAAGGACAUGUUCUAAAGCCAAGUCUAAAAAAAAGUGCAGAGUUUGCAGAGUUAUUGUGGCCUAAAUCCAGCUGUUUUGUGUUGGAUCCAGGCCUAUUAAAGUCUAAACAGAACCGUGUAACUCUUACUUCCAGCUGUUUAGGAGUGUCUUACCAGAGACUGAGCAAAACAUCAGAAGUAACGACUAAAGCUGCUUCAUCUCUGACAUAUUUGCAGUUCAUUACGUUUGUCUUAUGUGGGGUUUUUUCAUAUCAUUGUGAAUUUUCUGCUUUUAUUUUGACCCUUUUUCUUUGCUAGUAAUAUAAUAUAGUAAAUGUACUUUUUUUAUUUGAUAAGCUAAACCUAUAAAAUGUUGUGUUGCCAUGUAUUUGUCUUAAAGAAAUACAUGUGAAAGAAGCAAUCAGAAAAGUAGACAGUGUUUCAUUUGUUUAUUUUAUUGGUUUUUUUUUCCCCCCAGAGGCUCAGGUCCUUCCAUUACGAAAUCGAAGUAUAAAAUGUAAGGGACAUUCUUAACACCUCAUGAUGAAAAAGAAACUAAACAUGCUAAAAACAACUUUUAAAAAGCUUUGGGCUCAGAUACAGGAUGCACGUUCUCUAUAGUAUUAUGUAAAAAAUUGUACUCCCUUCUUAUUACCUUUCUAAAAUCGUUCUUUUUAAAGUUCAAGUUUUCCCGCAUGAUCCGUUCUACAUUCCCGUACCACCGAUGCCGUCCAGGCUUUCCCUCUGCAGACGUUGGUUGGCGUCCAGGCAAAAAGACUGAACGACGCGCUCAAUCGAAAUCUCAUCCUUGUUCCUGCACGUUUCUGAUUUACCUUCCACCAUUCCAUAAAACCCUGCACACUUUGUAAACCAUUUGACUGAAUACUGUGAAUGAGGACAUGUCGAAGUGGCAUCAUUGUGCAAAAUUGUCCAAUGUUAGUGCAACACUCCCAUUAGGAGGAAUACACAAACACUUUUAGAAUCCUUCUAACUUGAAUCUGUUGUGGGGUUUUCACGUUUCCUGUGACUGUUUAAACAGUAAGACAAGAAGGGGGGGG